CCUUACAGUAGCGCAGCGCCAGGAGGGUGUCCGCGGUCUCGCCUGCCGCCCAGGGGCCCUCUCAGUGCCGCGCUCCGCCAGCCUCGGCCCCACCCCAAACCCCUUCCUCCUUCACCGCCGGCUCUUACAGGGAAAUCGGCGCCCGAGACACAGCCAGCGGGUGUUCAGAAAGGAAAACGCUCGCUCAACAGCCUUUUCGGUUGAUUCUUACAUUCAAGGUGUGUUACUAUUUGUGGCAAGCAUCUUUUCAUUUAAAUCUCGUGACAACCCCGUGAGGACCAUCGUCCCCAUUUUCCUCUUGAGGAUGAGGGCUCAGAGACAGGAGGAAACCGGUGCUCUGAUCAAAGCCAUACAGCUGGUGACAGGUGGGCUUGGCUCCCAGCGCCCUCUCUGCAACUGAAUAAGCUGCCUUAUUCAGAACGUGCUGAGAUGGAACAGAUUUAACAUCUGACAAGCAGGAAUGUCCCCAAGUGGUGUUUCUCAGCUAGAUCCUGUUUGAAAGGACACUUCUUGCAAGCCUCUCAGUGUGGACUCAAAUUGUUUUUAGAAUAAAGCUAAACAGCUUCAUGCAUAAACCAGCACAAGCUCCCUAUGUUUGUGAGUCCUAAAGCACUCAAAUUAAAUUCAGCAUAAGCCAGACUAUAAAAUCAAAACUGUUGAAAUCCUCAUGAGUCGGGAGGCUGUUCUGUUUGCAGGGCCACUGCUCUUGGCUGUGUCUGUCCCAGCUUUGCAGGGCAGGCAGGUGCCGCCCGGUGCUAGGUGGCCCAAUUCUCCUCUGCUUUUCUUUCUUCAGAGCCCUGGGUUAUGGCACUGGAGUGUCACGGGGUACUGCGGUGAGGGUGCGGGAAAGGGGGUUCUAACUUCUGUCACCCGCGCCCUAGGGUUCGAUAGUGUUUUUUCAAUCUCAUUAAAGGGCUGACUUCUAUACACACAGAGAUUCGGAAGCUGCCACUGCAUUAUUUUCAUAUUAGCUCCACCUCUGUUCUUUUGUUAAUGUCUCCCACCAAUUUAUAAAAUAGUCUGAGGCUCUGGUGGGAUCAGAAACCCAAAGGUGAACACGGCAGCAGCUCCUGCGUCAUAAGGUGGUGGGCCGGAUGGUCGGUGUAUCUGUACUGGUUUUUCUUCACUUGUCAACAAAAUGGAAAUGGUAUUUAAAAUGGAAAAUGGCAGGAGUACUAAAAGUCCUAAUAGAUGAUAGGGCAUUACAAUCAGUAUUUUAGUUGUGGUAGUAACACCGUGGUCAUACGUUUUUCUUUUUCUUUUUUUUUUUUUUGAGACGGAGUCUCGCUCUGUCGCCCAGGCUGGAGUGCAGUGGCGCGAUCUCAGCUCACUGCAAGCUCCGCCUCCCGGGUUCACGCCAUUCUCCUGCCUCAGCCUCCUGAGUAGCCGGGACUACAGGCGCCCGCCACCACGCCCGGCUAAUUGUUUUAUAUUUUUAGUAGAGACGGGGUUUCACUGUGUGAGCCAGGAUGGCCUCAAUCUCCUGACCUCGUGAUCCGCCCACCUCAGCCUCCCAAAGUGCUGGGAUUACAGGCGUGAGCCACCGCGCCCGGCCGGUUAUAUGUUUUUCUUUUGUCAUUUUAAUCAUGCAGCCUGAAGUAUUUAUAUGGAUGAAUAUCAUGAUGCCCGGGAUUGGCUUCAAAGUAACCCCAUGGAGACGAGGGGUUAAUAUGAGUGUGUCCGACCGGCACAAGAUGGGCUGGAUAAGGCUAGGAUAUUCAUUAUAUGAAAAUUCUACUUUUAUAAAGGCUUGGAAUUAUCCGUAAUUAAAACAUUUCAAAAAUCUUCCACGAGCUCAAGGAGACUCCAAGCCUAUGGCCCUGGAUCACCUCCCUGAGACAGCUGGAGCAAAUGUCAAGCCCAGUGUUGGGAUGGCACCAGAUGGGGUGCAUGUAGCUUGGGAGACCUUCCUUGGCCCUAAAAGGGAGCACUGUCUCCCCCACACCUCCCCCUGCUGGGCAGCAUGGGCACUGCAUGCCACAGGCAGCUCGGCUUGGACACUUGGGCACAGAGCCCAUACUGGGUCCUCCACGUGACUCUCAACCUAACAAAAUGUUAAAGGAGAUGCUUUUUCUAUUAACAUAAAUCAGCAAACAUUUAUGAGCACUUCGGUAAGUGGUCCUUGAAGUCUUGGAUAGGCAAGAAGAGGGAGAAGCCACGGGGCAGGGGAAAGACUAACGUGCGUGGAUUUCCAGCCCAAUCCCAGCUGUCACCCCCUGACUGCAUGGCCUUAGACAUCUCUUGCCCUCCCCGUACAAUGGCGACAGUAAUCCAUGGCUCUACGGGUUAAAUGACCGCUGCAAGAGAGGGUUCGCAGCACAGGGUAGCCAUGCAGAGGACUUAACUGAAUGAAGGAGAAGAGGAGAGAGCCCAGAGCUGACCUGAUGCAAGGCUGGCCACAAUGCCUGUGUCCCUUACCUGACUGGCUGAUGAAAAAGCAAACGUCAUCCCUGAACACAGGUGUGUUCCUGUCCAGAAAAUCACUAGCAAGUUCAACCAUCACAGGAAGCUCAGUCAGUUCCUCCAAAACUUGCCGCGUCUGAAGCCAACAAGCAAGCAUGGAGACUAAAGUCAGUCACAGGCACGACAGGGACAUGGGGCAGCUGGGCUUCUAGGGACAGUUUGUGACACGGAACCUCACUGUCCAGGUGGCGAGGGGACUUCGGUCACCCACAGGCCACCUCGAAGAUAAAAGGGCUCCGUGUCAUUUCUCACGCUAGCUCAUGGGAAUGGGUACAAGGGCUUAGCCAAAUUCAGAAGGCCACAUGAGUGAUAAAACUGAAGGCCAGUGUCUGGUCCUAGACUGCCGUCGACUUCCCCACGCACAUGUGUCACACUUACAGCCACGGCAGCGUGGUAGCUGGUUCCACAGCCAAUCACGAUGAGCCGUCGGCAUCGUCGAAUCUCCUUCAAGUGGUCCUUCAAGCCACCCAGGAGCACUGCAGGGCACACGACAAGGCGUUAAUGCUGAGUCUACACAGUCACCGCAUUCCCUGAGACUAGGCUCGGGCGGAGGCUCCCCACCGAGUGUAGGAAUUACCUGUGUUGGUUUCAAAAUUCACCCGACCUCUCAUAGUAUUGAAAACUGAUUCUGGCUGUUCGAAGAUCUCCUUCUGCAUAAACGCACUGAAGUUACCUGGUCAAAUAAACGUCUGGUCAGUUUUAAUUUCAUUAUAUUUCACUGCUUUUCAUUAUGCAGCAGCGAUAGUAACUCCUGUAAAGCUUACUGCAGAUUCCCAAAGGCAUCCCCAGGGAUUACCCUGCCUGACACUCACUACCAUCAGAGGGAAGCAGGUCAGGAACCAGGACUAUCUCCAAUUUACAUAUUGGACCCUGCAGCUUGAGAAAGGGAGGGAUUUGCCCAAGGCAUGCAAGUAACAAAUGGCCUGGCUGAUCCCUCUGGGCCAUGCUCCCUUA
rnacentral:lncRNA from 1 species